rnacentral:rRNA from 1 species
CCUACGGGAGGCAGCAGUGAGGAAUAUUGGUCAAUGGACGAGAGUCUGAACCAGCCAAGUAGCGUGAAGGAUGACUGCCCUAUGGGUUGUAAACUUCUUUUAUAGGGGAAUAAAAUGUGCCACGUGUGGGAUUUUGUAUGUACCAUAUGAAUAAGGAUCGGCUAACUCCGUGCCAGCAGCCGCGGUAAUACGGAGGAUCCGAGCGUUAUCCGGAUUGAGUGGGUUUAAAGGGAGCGUAGGGGGAUUGUGAAGUCAGUUGUGACAGUUUGCGGCGCAACCGUAAAAUUGCAGUUGAAACUGGCAGUCUUGAGUACAGUCGAGGUUGGCGGAAUUCGUGGUGUCGCGG